UUGUGAAGAGCCAAUUAUACUAGGCUCUUGGUAUACAGAUAGGUGUGUUAGUAAGGAGAGAACAACCCCUCUUGAUUCCAGGAAAAACAGCAGAGGACUAGUGGGUACAAGUAUACUAGAAAAAGGCACUUUAUUAAAACAACAGACAAUCUAAUAAUAAAAUGUGCAGUAAUACCAGUCCACCAUAUAGUCCACUUCCAAGACGCGUUUCUCUUGUGCAGCUUUAUCGAUCUGCAUGCUGAUUUCCU